rnacentral:rRNA from 1 species
GGGGAAUCUUCCGCAAUGGGUGAAAGCCUGACGGAGCAAUACCGCGUGAGGGAGGAAGGCCUUUGGGUUGUAAACCUCUUUUCUCAGGGAAGAAGAUCUGACGGUACCUGAGGAAUAAGCAUCGGCUAACUCCGUGCCAGCAGCCGCGGUAAUACGGAGGAUGCAAGCGUUAUCCGGAAUUAUUGGGCGUAAAGCGUCCGCAGGUGGUCUUUCAAGUCUGCUGUCAAAGACCAGAGCUUAACUCUGGGCAGGCGGUGGAAACUGAGAGACUAGAGUUCGGUAGGGGUAGCGGGAAUUCCCA